GGGGGCGGAGUAGAGAGAGACUGGAAGAAAAACAAAAGAUCGCUACUAUAUUCACCCCUAAACUUGAUUUACUAGUAUGUGCUCGCGCUCGCGUGGCCCUAUAGCUGUCACAUUCCACCAGCCUUCAACCACCAAGUCCCCAGAGAAACAAAUUUAUCUCUUAUCUUGCUGACAUAAGUAUAUCAGUCAACGACUGGAUUCUAAUCUCAAUUUCUUGCUGAGAGACUUGAUGCAUGGACGUACUACAAACCAUGCUUGAUGACAGAGAAAGUGCAUUUUACGCAAUGUAAGAGUACACAGGCAGGGAGGAAGUUUCCAUUGAUUUAGGUUUCCACCCUAGGACCAGGGACUUGGAACUUGAAGACUGCUAGGACCUACUUCUUGGUAACUUUUAUGUACUUUAAUAUACCAUGUAGGGACUUCCAUGCUAAAAAUAGCUAUGCUAAGCUGAAAGCAUGUUUUUUUUAAUCACCGUAUUUAAAUAAAUAAACAAACAAAACUGGCUCACUGCUAUGCAAUAUCAAGAGCACGUUCGAAGCUCCCGGUAAUUCAGAUUGUAUUGCACAGAGAUGGUUCUCCAGCCACGUAAUGAUCUAAUUAGAAGAUAAAAAGGCAUUCUCCUCGUGGCCAUCUUUUUCCCUUUAUUAUUUCAUAUAUCAUGUCUUCCUCUUUCCAACAUUUACUACCUAGUCUCACGGAUCAAUCUACGAUACAGGUUGGUAGAAAGUGAUGAGGCACUUUAUACACAAAAUGAUGUGCCUGAUGUUGGCAAGUGCAUAAACGCCUGGUGAUAACCGUGAUAUUGGUAUUCAUUUUCUUCAAUCAAUUUUUUUAUUUUCCGUCGACUUACUUUUUGUCGUAAAAGCCUGUAACAUCAGUGAUAUAUAAUUGAUUUCGCUUCUCUCUUCUCUGCGAUCUAUUUUGUCAAGCGCCUGGUGAUAUUGGCAUUCAUUUUCUUCAAUCAUUGUUUUCGUUCCGUCGACUUACUUUUUGUCGUAAAAGCCUGUAACAUCAGCGAUGUAUAAUUGAUUUAGCUUCUCCCUCCCCUUCGAGCUAUCUCUCUUGUAUUUUGUCAAUGUCCUGGUGAUAUUGGAAUUAUUUUUUUCAUUCAUUUCUUUCGUUCCGUCGACUUACUUUUUGUCAUAAAAGCCAGUAACAUCAGCGAUAUUUAGUAUAAUUGAAUUCACUUCUCUCUUCCCUGCGAUCUAUCUCUCUUUUAUUUUGCCAAGCGCCUGGUGAUAUUGGAAUUCAUUUUCUUCAUUCAUUUCUUUCAUUCCGUAGGCUUACUCUUUGUCAU